rnacentral:lncRNA from 1 species
GCUCCCUUCCACUUUCUACCUUUUAGCCAUGGGAUAAUACAGCAAGAAGGCCUACACCAGAAGCCAACAUCACACUUUUGGACUUCUCAGCCCCAGAACUACUUUACCGAAGGGUACAAGAAUGAGCUAACACACUCCAAGACUGUGACAUUUUUCUACGUGAGUCAAGGCUGAACUUCCAUGUUAUUGUCUCCUGUAUACACAGCAGGAAGCUAAGACUCAAAGAGAUUAAAUAGCAAUUCCGAUCAGUAAAAAGCAGAGCACAGACACGAAUUAUUAAUCAAGUGAAAGCAAACUCAAAAUUUUCUCACAGAAAUGGUACUAGGGUAUAAUGAAUGUAAAGUCUAACUAAAGAACGAACAAUCCCAGCCACCAAAGAGACAAUCAAUAGAAAUAAAAUA